GGGGGCUGCAGCUCAGCUCCGGGGGGGACGCGCCUUUCUCCACGGGACCUGGGGCUCAGGUGCUCACGAGGCUGGGGCGCUGCAGGCCACCCGCAGGGGAAACUGAGGCCCUCCAUUUUGUGGGGCUGGAAGACCUUUCCUUCCAAAAGCAGGUGUAGGCGGGAGCACCUGUGCAGUCCCUCUGUUCAGAUCCUCACCCACUUUUAAAUCAGGAAACAGCAGAUGAAAUGCACAGUGUGAAGGACAAGGAUUCUGCUGAGAGAAUUGCUCCGAGGGUUGCUCAAGUGAUCAUGGGAAAUAAUGCAUCAAACCAUUCUUUAGAUGCAGCUCAGGUGUGCCUUUUCUUCGCCUGUGCCCAUCCACCUGAGAUGGACCAUAACCAUAAAAGUCAGAAGGCACUGACCCUUCAGGACGUGACAGGGUUAAAAGAUGCUGGAGGGAAAGUCUGUCAUUGACUUUUAUUCACUUCCUUUCUCCAUUCUGCCAUUUGGAAGAAGGAAGUUGGGGAUGAGAGAGGGGAAGGAGUAGCAUCUUGUUCCGUCGGCCUCCUUGAUCUAAGCCUUUGUUGUGAAUUCGUUUUUACCACAUUUAAAGUGUGAUGCCCAGAAUGGAACUCGGGGCUGCUGGCACCCCCAUCCAUCUUUGGAGGCCCUGGACAUAAUCGAUGGGGCAGGCAGAAGACCUGCAGCUCCAAGCCUGCUAGUCGGCUCAUUCUGGGUCUCCUGGAGGAUGCCAAGGUCCCUGGCCCUCUCAGAUCUCCUGGAGCCAUCUCACCUUCACAAGUUGAAUGCCCUCAUGGACCACUGAGUGAAUCCAGCGUAUCACCCUAGUCUACACUUUGGCCAUUCUCUUCAAAAUAAGGAGCCUGAUGUUUCACAAAACCAUCUGUUGCCCUCUUCUGUUAUUACAGCUGAAUGCUUCAGAAAUCAUUCUGCACCACUAAAAAUAAAAUCCACGUAGAACCUGAAAGAA
rnacentral:lncRNA from 1 species